rnacentral:rRNA from 1 species
GGGUUGUGAGGUUAAGCGACUAAGCGUACACGGUGGAUGCCCUGGCAGUCAGAGGCGAUGAAGGACGUGCUAAUCUGCGAUAAGCGUCGGUAAGGUGAUAUGAACCGUUAUAACCGGCGAUUUCCGAAUGGGGAAACCCAGUGUGUUUCGACACACUAUCAUUAACUGAAUCCAUAGGUUAAUGAGGCGAACCGGGGGAACUGAAACAUCUAAGUACCCCGAGGAAAAGAAAUCAACCGAGAUUCCCCCAGUAGCGGCGAGCGAACGGGGAGCAGCCCAGAGCCUGAAUCAGUGUGUGUGUUAGUGGAAGCGUCUGGAAAGGCGCGCGAUACAGGGUGACAGCCCCGUACACAAAAAUGCACAUACUGUGAGCUCGAUGAGUAGGGCGGGACACGUGGUAUCCUGUCUGAAUAUGGGGGGACCAUCCUCCAAGGCUAAAUACUCCUGACUGACCGAUAGUGAACCAGUACCGUGAGGGAAAGGCGAAAAGAACCCCGGCGAGGGGAGUGAAAAAGAACCUGAAACCGUGUACGUACAAGCAGUGGGAGCACGCUUCGGCGUGUGACUGCGUACCUUUUGUAUAAUGGGUCAGCGACUUAUAUUCUGUAGCAAGGUUAACCGAAUAGGGGAGCCGAAGGGAAACCGAGUCUUAACUGGGCGUUAAGUUGCAGGGUAUAGACCCGAAACCCGGUGAUCUAGCCAUGGGCAGGUUGAAGGUUGGGUAACACUAACUGGAGGACCGAACCGACUAAUGUUGAAAAAUUAGCGGAUGACUUGUGGCUGGGGGUGAAAGGCCAAUCAAACCGGGAGAUAGCUGGUUCUCCCCGAAAGCUAUUUAGGUAGCGCCUCGUGAAUUCAUCUCCGGGGGUAGAGCACUGUUUCGGCAAGGGGGUC